CCUACGGGAGGCAGCAAUGAGGAAUAUUGGUCAAUGGACGAGAGUCUGAACCAGCCAAGUAGCGUGAAGGAUGACUGCCCUAUGGGUUGUAAACUUCUUUUAUAUGGGAAUAAAAUGUUCCACGUGUGGGAUUUUGUAUGUACCAUAUGAAUACGGAUCGGCUAACUCCGUGCCAGCAGCCGCGGUAAUACGGAGGAUCCGAGCGUUAUCCGGAUUUAUUGGGUUUAAAGGGAGCGUAGGUGGAUUGUUAAGUCAGUUGUGAAAGUUUGCGGCUCAACCGUAAAAUUGCAGUUGAAACUGGCAGUCGUGAGUACAGUAGAGGUGGGCGGAAUUCGUGGUGUAGCGGUGAAAUGCUUAGAUAUCACGAAGAACUCCGAUUGCGAAGGCAGCUCACUGGACUGCAACUGACACUGAGGCUCGAAAGUGUGGGUAUCAAACAGGAUUAGAUACCCCGGUAGUC
rnacentral:rRNA from 1 species